GCUGUAUGUUGUCGGGUAACGGCAGGGCAUACAGCUAGUAUUCCGUACUGUGGGUAGCAAUUUAAAUACGGAUAUGGGCAGCGAAGUUAGCACCCUAAUUGUGAAAGGCUGACGUGU
rnacentral:sRNA from 12 species